CGAACAGUUUAGAGAGGUAGGCCCCCACUUCUGGCCCUUCCCCUCGGCUUAUUUUUGCCUUGUAAAAUUAAAUUUGCACAUUUUGGAUGUGAUUAAGAAAUACCUAACUGCUAUAAAUAAACAAGCAGAUAAUAUGACACAAACAAAAGCCGGGCCUGCCAAGUCCUAACAAGUCAAGGAGAUGACGUUGUUUAUACACGCUUGAAACCACAGAGCAACGAAUGCUUCCAACCCAAAGCAAGCGUGCCAUGCCAUGCACAAACAAAACCAGAUCACCUGGGUUAAAAAGCACAGAUCUCGUCAUGAAACCCUGAAGAAUUCCUUUAUGACUUUCAUUUCCAUUGAUACUCACAAUUGGAAAUGAGUACUGAAAGUCCCAAGCUGCCUGCAGAGAGGUUUCCUGCCCUGGGAGGGAAACAUACAGGGCCUCUGGCAGCUGUGAAAGAUGUUUCACAGCAGCUGGAAGUGAAAACAAGAGCAUCAGAUCCUUGUGUGGACAGCCUAUUUCUCCAGUGACUGCUGCACUGAGCCAGAAAGCUUGUUGGAAAUGUUUCCUGAAGAACACUUAUGUAUGCCAGAGGUUGCACCCCAUUGAAUGUAAAGCUGAGAUUUCAAAAAGCCCUGUUGAUGUAGGAACUGAAUCCCUAUCGCCCCUAAUUCUGAGUCCCAACACUAAAUUCUGAAGAAAAAAAAAGAUGAAAAUCGGAAGGAAGGAAUUAUUUCUGGAAGUAUUCUGUCUCUGUUACAGAAACUGGGUUCCCUGCAAACGUGUCACAGAUCUAUGCAUAUGAGAAAGGUUUGUUUUCAACAAUGAUCUCACUGCAGCCUAUAUCAAUGAUGUCUGCACCAGAGGGUGGUGGGCAUUUAACAGGCUGCCCAAGGCAAUGGUCAAGCUUGCUGGAGUUCAAGAAGCCUCUGGACAACACUCUCAAACAUAUGGUAUGAUGCUUGCAUGGUCCUGUCUGGAGCCAGGUGUUGGACUUGAUGAUCCUUAUGAGUCCCUUCCAACUUAGGAUAUUCUAUAAUUCUAUGAGUUAUAGAAAUCUAUCAGUUCCAUGUAAAUAAGAGCAGCACUGACAAAUAUAG
ensembl:lncRNA